ensembl:lncRNA
UAGCCUGCAGUAGCAAAAUGGGUGAUUCACAAGCACUGGCUGAGAAGCAGCUGUAGCUCUCCCAUCUGCUCACAUGUCUCUGAAACGAUCUCCAGGGAAAAAUGUCUCUGCUCCUAGUCCACCAGCUGUGGGCUGAUUCACUAAGUGGUUACCCAUCUUUUCUUCUGGGAGGAUGACUGAUGCCUUGUGGAGCACCUUGCACUGGUCACAUAGUAGGCCCUCAGGAAAGAGCGGGCAUAUCACUUGGAUUUAGCCAAUCAGUGUUUCCAUCCUUCUCGUCCUCCUGAUUGGCUGAGAGGUGGGCACAUGACUCAAAUUGGUACCAAGAGGGUCAAACCUGGAACGUGUGUGAGGACUGCGGGAAAGAGAAGCCCUUUCCUGGCUGGGGUGAUUAAAGAGGCGAAAUGCAAGCCUAGAGAUGUUGGAGGUCUCUUUGUCUCUAAGAACCGAGAAUCUGCCUGAAGUGAAGCCAUCACAGAGAAUGCAGAGACCAGGGACGGAGAAAGAGUCCUGACAACUUUGUUGGGCCCCUAGAUUCAGGGAGAUUACCCAGGAUUAUCUGGAUGGAUCCAGUGGAAUCACAAGGGACUUUAAAAGUGGAAGGAGGCAGAAAUUAGAAGUUAGACUUGACCCACCGUUGCUGGCUUUGAAAAUGGAGAAAGGAAGCCAUGGGCCAAGGAAUGUGGCAACCUCUAGGAAUGCGACAAACAAGGCAAUGGAUUCUCCUCCAGGGCCUCCAGAAGGAACGCAGCCCUGCGGACGCCUUGACUUUAGCCGGGUGAGACCUAUUUCAGACUUCUAACCUACAGAACUGCAAGGAAGUGACUGGGAAAUGCAGAUCUGUGAAAGGAUCCAGUGAAGCCUGCAGUUGACUAGAUGAUGUUCAUGGCGCAGCUGAGGCUCACGGGAAAAAAGAAAAGUGUGACAGCCAUGUCCUGGAGUAUACUUCUGAGCUGCCUGGUGCCCCUGGCGAUUCCUGUCAUCAUCAAGUAGAUGCGGAUGGGGGUGGGGGACUCUGAGAGGGAGGGGACGGCAGCCGGCAGAGAAGGCUAAACGCUCAGGAAAGUUGGUGGUCCGAGUGGGAAAGCUGCAAAAUCGCGACGCAGUGAAAACCAAACAGCGACGGAGUGAGGAGCCGAGAGCUUGUUAACCGUGACUCUGACCCGACCUGGCGGCUCGUCUCUGCCCCUUCUGAAGACCAAGCGCUCAUUCCUUCUUCAACUCACAUCGCCUGAAACACCAAAGGGCCCUGCACAGCCCAACUCGUUCACUCCUACCAGCCCUUUAGGUACGGAUAUGGAAACUGAGACUCGGACAUCCACAGCUGGCGGCACAGAGGUGGCCUUGGAACCCGUGUCCAUCCGACUGACCCGGCACCCGGCUCUACGGUUCUCACCAUCCUCCUCUUGGAUGCUGGCACUUUCCAACAGGCUUCACUGCUCUGCCGCCUCAGCUCGUAGGCCGUGUCCUUUUGACCUUUUCCAGCCUCUACCAUUCUCCAUGGUGACAGAAAAUACCCUGAGAUAGCAGGGAGAGAGGGAGGCCCAUCUCUGGUCUCGGUUUCCCAAAGGAGAUUAGCUCGUGACCUGGAGCGCGAGGACUGUUGCGAGAAACGCGAUUCCUCAUCUCGUCCACACUCGCCAACCCCGCGCCUCUUAUCAAAACACUGCGGAGGCGGCGAGGUGCCGCCCCUUUGGGACACAGCUGUUCCUCAUCACGAGGUAAAACAAAACCGUGGCUUGGCACAGCCCAGAAACCUCUGCCCGAUCUUCGCCUGCAAGAGAAAUCGUUUGUCCCCAUCCCACUGAGGCUUGAGAGGGAAGCUAAGAGGGAGGAGGGUCCUUGCUCUGCAGCUUGCCCAGAGGACCCAGCUGCCCUUCCAGGGGAAAGGAGGGAGAGGAGGACUGGGGGAGUCCCCCGGGUCCACCGCAUGCCUGGGUUCAGGGUUUGCCCCCUAAGACCUGCCAGAAAGAUUGCCCUCUGUAGAAAAUGACCCUUGUCCCUCUUUCCAUCUGUCUAUCUGAAGCCUUUACUUGGGAAUACGCCUUGGCUGAGAAGAAAAAUGAAGCGUUUGUUUGGGGAAAAUGUUAAAUUAAAUUUUUUUAAAUUAAAAAAUGUAAGCUUAAACCACUAACAUGCACUGAGUGUGUGUGUGGGAGAUUGUUCUAGAAAAAUGGCAUAAAGAGGCAGAAAGAGCUGUGAUCGGAGAAUCAGAAGAUAGGGGCAUGAGUCAUGGCUUUACCACUUCUGUCCACCUCUGAGCCUCAGUCUUUUCUUCUCUGAAAUGGGGGAAAUGAUAAAAGCUGUGUUGGAUUCAGCAAUGCCUGGGCAAACUCCUGCCACGUGCCAGAAAACACGUGGGAACUUUUCACCUGCGUGAACUGAAUGCACGCUCGAAGCUAUCCUGUUUGGGGGAGAUGACAUCCAUGUUGUGGUGUGGGUAUGGAAAGUCCAUUUUAGGGGUUUUCCUGGGGCAGCAGACUGGAUCUCCUGAUGGUACACCUCGGCUGCAUCGUGGUUGCCCCAGGCUUGUGUUAAGUAAGAAGGCAAGGCUGAGGGCCAUUCAUUCAUUCAUUCAUUCAAUAGAUAUUUGUCAAGUGCCUGCACUAUGGCAGGCACUGCUCUAAGCUGGGAAAACGUGGGUGAACAAGACAGAUAAGGUGGCUGCUCUUGUCAAACUCUCUUUCUUCUAGAGGAGAGAGAUUAUAAGCAAAUCGACAAUGAGGUAAAGGUAAGAAUAAGUGCUGUGAAUAAAAUAAGAGGAGCCAUAUGAUGGACUAAGCUCCAGGGCAUGACUUAGAAGGGACGGAGCCUCCUUCAGAGCAAUGUUAUCAAAACACAGACUGGAUCCUACCGACUUUAAGGAACAAAUGUGCUCUGCCACGUGCCCGAGGCCUUGGGUGCCCCGUGCCCCGUGACUCUGGAAGCUCAUCCUUGUAACCACUCCAAGCUGUUUGCUGCCUGUCCUCGGUGUUCCUGUUCCCUGUGAUAGACGUGCAUCUGAUCCUCAAAAGAAUAUCAGAUAAUGAGAAGAAGAGAGGCCAAAGGACAAAGCAAAAUACAUGUUUUUAUGCCAGUUUGAACUCAAUUUAGAAAGAAACAUAAGCCGUCAUCAAAUAGACCAUGAUUUUUCUAAAAUGAAUAGCCCGUGUGUGUGUGUGUGUGUGCAAGUGUGUAAUGGUUCUUUCCAUUUGCAGAAGUUUCUUUGUGGCCAGAACUCAUCAAUGAGUUUUGGGUGUCCCCUCCCCCCUACCUGUCACGUCAUGCUGGUUAUCACUGGGAUAUAGAAAGAAUCACUCAGGAGCUGAGGACCAAGGACAUCAGGAUCUCGGUGGUAAAGCAGGGGACUCAAUUAGACUCUGGCCCCCAGCUGCCCAGCCAGAUUCACCCCCUUCCCAGACCCACCUCAAGGCCACGAGACCUUGUCUGUCAUUGUGCAAGAGCAGAGGAGAAUUCUCAGUUACAUGCCAAACUGGAGUCCCAUCUUUAGCUGGCUUUGGCCUCAUUCGUCAUUUCCCGUUAUCUCUGUGUCCCUGGCACAUACCAGAGACUGCAGGCUGCAUGUUCUCCUGUUCAUUCGGCCAUUCCCAUUGUGAUCGUCCACUGCUGAUCAUGCGGAGUGGGACAGCACAGGACCUGAGAAACACAGCACAGGACCUGAGAAACCACGUGGCUCAGCAGCUUUAUGUAAUUGAUUUAUGUAUUUAAUUAUUUAAUUCCUGAAUGGGUUUUUGGCCACCAAACCCUUUGUUGAAACAAAAUUUCAGGUGGGGUUCUAAAAUGUAAAACAGAAACAAUAGGCUCAGGGACCCAGAGUCUCUCCUUCGGGGCACUCCCUUCUUACGGCAGCCCCUAGUGAGCCCCUUGAAGUGCUCAGAGCUCUCCCCAGCAGCCCAGUUUGGAAAACACCCAUCUCAUUCAAACCCCCUCCUGUUACAGAAGCACUGAGGGAAGUGAAAGAUCCCGUUUGCCUGGCGAGUUGGUAGAAAAUAGGUGAUUAAUUCCGUGCAAAACAAAACAAAACAAAACGCAAAAAACCAGUGGUAGAACGAGUAAAUGGCUACUGUGGGAGGGUCGUGGCAGGACCCGGAGGUCGGCCCAGGAAGCGGAUCACCUGUGUUGGAAGGAAGCGGUGGUCCCGAUUGCCAAGGAGCCCCAUGUGCAUCGCACAUGAACGGCAGGAACUGGUGGAGUGAGAGCUGUGAUGACAGCUCCGUAAUGCAUUUAUCCCAAGGUGCUCUCAUGCACGUUACGGUUUUGAUAUUUUUACUUAACUGGAAGCGGUCAGUCUGCUGCAUUCGAGGCAAGAGAAUGGGUCUGCCAUCAGCCACCCAGCGAGAGUUCUGCUGCCCUCGGAGUGUCGGACAGCAUCCCGAGAUGCUCUGGCUCCAUCUUAGUGUAACAGCCACCUGGAAAGGGUUUGGCGCCGAGUGUCACUGCGAGAGAGACAGACCAGGGGAAAGCGUAGUGGGCUGGAGGCUGUGUGGCAUAGAGGCAACAUGUAGGAGCGAACUAGCUGUGUGCCCGGGUAAGUUUCUUAACCUCUCUGGGCCUUAGUUUCCUCAUUUAUAAAAUGAGGUUGACAACAAUAGGGUCUGUCUUGCAGGGUCAAUGUGAGGGAUCCAUGAGGCGAACCCUAUAAAGUGCUUAGACUAGUGGCCAGCUCAUACUUAGUAAGUCCUAAUAAAUGCUAGUUCUUGUUACCAUUACUGCCUCUGGCCUGGUGACACGUCUUCCCCCAGUUCUCACCAAAGGAGGCCAAAUUGCAUUCGCACUUAACUGCCUUUCUGAAGACCUGAGGAAGACUUCAGAGGAGAAAAUUCUACUGCUUGCUAACAGGCAGGUGCCAGGUGUGCUCUGCUGAUCGCUUUAUCUGCUUUUUGUCACUUAAAUCUCACUCUAGCCCCAAAAGACGGGGACUGGAAGCUCUGUUUCAGAGAUGAGGAAACCAAGGCUUGGGGAAUUUUCAUCCAAAGCCACACAGCCAGCAAACAGGGGAGCCAGGAUGCAAAGCCAGGGAUUUGACACCUGUUUUUGUUUGCUUGUUCUUUUGUUUCCUCUCAGUAGUGUAGAUGCAGGAGACAUGGGCACAGUGAGGGCACAAUGGCUGCUGCUCCACGAUGAGAUGCCAAAACUCGACGCGGGGGCAACAUGGCAGCUUAGACAGGCGUGCAGUUCAGGGGGCCAGCAGCAGCCUUGGCUCCCCACCUCGGGGAGUCCCAGGAACCAGCACCGUGGGGGGAGUCCUGGCGGCCCGAGGAGGAGAGGCACAGCGACGCUGGGUAGGGCUGGGUCUUCUCGCUUCAGCACCGUUUGGCAAAUUCAUCCCUCCUGCAGGUUCUGGGAUGGAGACCCUGCUUCAUUGUGAACCAGCUGUGUGACCUCCCCCAGACCUCUUCCCCUCUCUGCAAUUUGGUUUCCUCCUCUGCACAAUGGGAAUAACAAUUCCUGGCAUAAAGUGUUAUGCCAUACAGUUUUAUUUAAUGAAAUACUGUGGGUAUGCCAUUGUCUUGUAAUGUCUGUGUAUUAUCCAUUAUGUAUGCUGUGCGGUACCAGGAGAACUUCUAUGCCUAACAACCUCACUCAUCAAACCUGAGGAGUUCUUUCAAUUUUGGCUGCACCGACUUUUCACAGGGUCACCAUAGAAAUUCUUAAGAUGAAAAACUCUCGUUUUUGAGUAGAAAUAAUAUGAUUGUGCUGAGUGCUGAUUCACAACCCCCUGGGGACAGAACGAGAAGGGAGCUCAGAAGCCUUAGGCCCAGUACCAAGGGGCACUUGCUCCACUUGUAAGUGGCAGAGUGCAAAUUUGAACCCAGGUCCGUCUGAGGAGCCCCUGACAUUUCCUCCACACCAUGUGAUCCUCUAGGGCUCUAGACACUGACGGAAACAGCAGAGGGGAUCGAUGGCUUGGUAUUUAUCCAUCUUGUCUGUUCUUGUGUGUUCGCUCAGCUCUGAGCUGGUCACAUGCAGCCUCUCAGAAGGUAUCUGUUAAAUUGUGCUGUAGAAAGAAAUGCCCAGCAUUGUUCCUGGUUCUCCCCUGCCCAUGCCCACCAGAGCGGAUCCUGGGCCUCCCCAAGGACGCAGUUGUCUGGGUCCUUCUGCCCACCUGAGCUAUACACCACGGUGAUAGUUCCCCGGGAAUCCGCACACUUAGAGCAGCCAAGUCUUUGUAAGUAUAAGAAAGCAUGUCUCCCCAGUUCCGCCCCUGCAGACAGGCUCAUUUUCCAGGUCUCCCUGCCAGCAGGCCGACUCUAUGGUUGAUUAGGGUAAUGAGGCUUAUGCAGGCUUCCUCUGUCCCUCCCCAUCUCCUUGGCUCUGAGCGUUAGCCCACUGUCUAUCAAUACUGUCUGGCACCAGAAGAAAGCCCCUCUCCCUUCCUGCACCCAGCAUCUGGUUGCCUGGAAACCAGGACAGAAGCCUAGAGCAUCUUGGGUUUCUUUUUAAUUUCCCUGCCAGGUCCCGAAAGCAAGCAGUAUUUGUUUUAAGCAGAACCUUUGCACUGUGGAGACUUGCCUUAACCUUGCCCAGAAUGACGUCAUCAACCUGCGUAAAUGUGAUGCAGAGAGAGAGGGACAGCCAUUCCGGGCUCAGUGUCAUUUGGUUAUCGGUACACAGAGUCAUAAUUAAUAGUGAAAGCUGAAGAUGGAUUGUUUCAGAGGGAGCCAGGACUAGGGUCAACUCGUGUGUGUGUGAGUGUGUGCGCAUGUGCCCAUACACAUGUGUUCAAAUUGGCAGCUUUGUGAAUUGCAGCUUGCAGUAGCCACGUGCAAAAGGGAAGAGAAAUCUUUCUUUCUCCAAAAGAACAAAAGACCAUCUUGAAAGUGAAUGUCCUUCAAAAGCCACACAAUUUGGGGUAGAGGCUCCAAGACCCUCUUUGGCUCACCCCCAAGGUGUGUCUCAGUAGGAAUGUGAAUCAUCUUCAGAUAGGGCCAUAGGAGAGGUGAGGAUUUGAAAAGUCACAAAUGGGAAAAGAACUCCCCCGUCCCCCACCCCCAAAUCCUUUGGCUUAACACUCAGAGGGCCUGCCAGAGUUUAGGACUAAACCUGGCCCCUGCUGCCUGGAGUAUGUCCUGGCUCAAGCACCUGGACGCUGUAUGUUCCCAAGGCUGAGAGGCAUUGCAUCUGUAGUGGGUGGGACUGGAUUUUCUCUCUUGUCAAAGCUGCCCCGUGUUCCCAAAAUAUGAAAUCUUUUGAAGAACCAUCAAAUCAGGCCCCACUGAGAAAGCAAUUUCCUGGGGAUUAUGAGCCAAGCGUCUUGCCCCUCCCCCACCUUGUCACCCUAAGUGUUCUCCCAUUUUAUAGAUGAGACUGGAGAGGCCGGGAGCAGCCAAGGAUCUUGCCUGAGGUUACACAACUAGUGGGCAGUGGAGCCAAAAUUUGAAUUACACAGCUUACUCAGAAAUCAUUAUAAGAAACACUAUCUGACUUCCUGCAUCUGAAGAUCUUUCUAGGAGAUACUGGCUCUUAGAGCCAACAGUCUCUUGGAAAAUUCUUAUCACUCAGUGAAUAAAUUGAAAUGGAGCUAAUAAUAGAGAGGUAUGUAGCAUGUCUGAAAAGAUCUAUUUGCUAUGUCUUCUUGGUAGAGUUUUUUAAGAAGCGCUUUGACGUGCUUUUUACCAAGAGGUUGAAGUGUGGAAUAUUUUCACGGUGGAACUAAAUCCAUGUUUCCUCCUUCCCUUCCUUUCCUGGACUUCCUUUGUCUCUGAGCUUUGGGGAGUGCUGUGUGUUCAGUGGUAUUUUCUUCAACACUGGUUUUCCUCCUUGCUGGAAGGAUAUUUUAGAGACAAAACAAUUUGAAGACGAGGACACAGAUGUUUUCCUCUCAUAAAUGGAGGCAGAGCAUUUAAGCAGCCAGUCACCAAUAUUCAGCCUUAGGAGCCAGAUGCCCUGGUUUCAAAUCCUGGCUGGCCCCGCCAGGUUCUUGCCUGUAUGACUAGGAGCAUCUUGAUAACUCAUCCCAGCCUCCGUUUCUAAUCCAUGAGAUGGGGAUGAUAAUGGUUCUGAGUUACCUUAAAGAACAGAAGAAUUAAUGUGUAAAGCUACGAGCACAGUGCCUGACCAAUAUGGACUCAGUAAGGGGAGCCACUAUUAUUAUUUUAUUAUCAACUUGGAGAUUCUAGAGUUGACUAAGGCUGUGGGAGAAAUCAGGACUGGAAUCAGAAAUUCCUGAACCCAAGAGAGGUGCUCAGAAGAGGCUUUCCCGGUACAAAGAAGGUUCCGGCACUGAUCCUUGUCCCCAGGCGCCUGUAUUCUUUAACAUUUUAAAAUCUUUGAAAUAGUACUGGCCUACAGGGAAGGCUCUUCAUACCCACUGUAUAGCUAAGGUGAUGCCUAUUGCCUGCUUGAAGGCACAGCACUCUAGAUUUCAGUGAAAGAAUUUGAAAUGAUGACUUUAAAGAAAAAAGAAAUAGAAAUUCCACCCCAGGCCUCUCCAAGAGGAAUGUCCCUUCUGCUAUUUCGUGCUCAUCCAAAGGCCACAAGAAAAGAAGUGACUGUGUUAAGAACAGGAAUGCUGUAAUUGCUGAGGGAGGAAUUCUUCUAAUUUCUGUGUACAAAACAAACUUGGAACAUCUGUAACCACUUUUCAUCUUUGUAGCCUUUAUUGUUCCCUGUGCAAACAUUAACUGGGCCCCAGCGUGUAUAAGGCAGGGUGUUAAGCAUUAAGGGAUACAACACACGUAAGAAACAGACCCUCCUUUUCAAGGAUUGGUUCCUGGGCCUGACCGCCUUCGUGCACAUCCCUGAGGAUUUGGCUAAGCCUCAUCACCUGGACCAGCUCUCCUCAAUCCCGUGGCCUCACACAGCAGGGACGGGAUGGAAUUAUGCCUCUGUGCUUUGGGCUGGAACAGGAUUCCAGGGCUGUGAAAAGCUUCAGCUACUCUCCUCCUCACCUCUCUCCUCCAGGACCCCCAGUCACCUUGUGAGCCCCCACUGUACCUAUUACACAUCGUCCCUGGUCCAUUGCUGUGCUCAGUAGAAAGAUAACUCUUCUUGCCUCUUUCCUUUCAAAUUCUCUCUUAUCUUCCUCACCCCAACCUGCCCCAAAGAAACCCAGCUCAGCAGUUUGCUAAGAGGGUAGCUUAAUGUGUUUCCCUUUACAGGAGACC